AAGCUCGUAGUUGAAUUUCGGGAUUGACACAUCGGUCGUGCCUUAAGGGGUAUGAACUGGUGUAGUCAACUUCUCACCUUCUGGAGAACCGCGAUGCCCUUAAUUGGGUGUCGCGGGGAACCAGGACCUUUACUUUGAAAAAAUUAGAGUGUUUAAAGCAGGCAUUUUGCUUGAAUACAUUAGCAUGGAAUAAUAAAAUAGGACGGCAUGAUUCUAUUUUGUUGGUUUCUAGGAUCACCGUAAUGAUUAAUAGGGAUAGUUGGG
rnacentral:rRNA from 1 species